AUGGUGACUAGGCACCAGCUCAGCUGUCACGGGUGCUGCCCCAGGUCCCAGGCCCCACCCCCUGCUGCCCAGGCACACACCCCCUGCGGCAGGUGACUCCACCCCUGCGUUCUGCUGUGCCGGGCACCUGCCUGCUCUACGCCCCUCAUCCCCAGGAUUUCCCACCCGCAGGCUUUCUGCGGGGGCAGUGGUGGCCCCGGCUUCUCACCCUUCAGGUUUUCUUGCAUCUGCGCACCGGUGGAAGAGAGUAGGCCCAGUGGACUGGGUGCUGCUGGGAGGUGGGAGGCUGCUGGGAGGGCACCGGAUGCCGGGGCCUUGCAACCUGGCAGAGGCUGUGCUGCUCAGGGAAGCAAGGUGGCCCUGGGGUGAGGCGGGGGGCUCAGAGGAAGGGGAGCCCUCAGGAGGAAGUGUUGGGGGCAACUGCCAGAGAGCCCGGCCACUGCCCAGUGCCCAUCCGGAAGCUCAGCAGGGAGUGGGCUUGGAAGUGGGCAGGGGCAUGUUGGCGCCGGCAGCAUCCUCUCUUGCAGAUGAAGGGCGCCCUGAUGGAGAUCAUCCAGCUCGCCAGCCUCGACUCGGACCCCUGGGUGCUCAUGGUCGCUGACAUCUUGAAGUCCUUUCCGGACACAGGCUCGCUUAACCUGGAGCUGGAGGAGCAGAAUCCCAACGUUCAGGAUAUUUUGGGAGAACUUAGAGAAAAGGUGGGUGAGUGUGAAGCGUCUGCCAUGCUGCCACUGGAGUGCCAGUACUUGAACAAAAACGCCCUGACGACCCUCGCGGGACCCCUCACUCCCCCGGUGAAGCAUUUUCAGUUAAAGCGGAAACCCAAGAGCGCCACGCUGCGGGCGGAGCUGCUGCAGAAGUCCACGGAGACCGCCCAGCAGUUGAAGCGGAGCGCCGGGGUGCCCUUCCACGCCAAGGGCCGGGGGCUGCUGCGGAAGAUGGACACCACCACCCCACUCAAAGGCAUCCCGAAGCAGGCGCCCUUCAGAAGCCCCACGGCGCCCAGCGUCUUCAGCCCCACGGGGAACCGGACCCCCAUCCCGCCUUCCAGGACGCUGCUGCGGAAGGAACGAGGUGUGAAGCUGCUGGACAUCUCUGAGCUGGAUAUGGUUGGCGCUGGCCGAGAGGCGAAGAGGAGAAGGAAGACUCUCGAUGCGGAGGUGGUGGAGAAGCCGGCCAAGGAGGAAACAGUGGUGGAGAACGCCACCCCGGACUACGCAGCCGGCCUGGUGUCCACUCAGAAACUUGGGUCCCUGAACAAUGAGCCUGCGCUGCCCUCCACGAGCUACCUUCCCUCCACGCCCAGCGUGGUUCCUGCCUCCUCCUACAUCCCCAGCUCCGAGACGCCCCCAGCCCCAUCUUCCCGGGAAGCCAGCCGCCCACCAGAGGAGCCCAGCGCCCCGAGCCCCACGUUGCCAGCGCAGUUCAAGCAGCGGGCGCCCAUGUACAACAGCGGCCUGAGCCCUGCCACACCCACGCCUGCGGCGCCCACCUCGCCUCUGACACCCACCACACCUCCGGCUGUCGCCCCUACCACUCAGACACCCCCGGUUGCCAUGGUGGCCCCGCAGACCCAGGCCCCUGCUCAGCAGCAGCCUAAGAAGAACCUGUCCCUCACGAGAGAGCAGAUGUUCGCUGCCCAGGAGAUGUUCAAGACGGCCAACAAAGUCACGCGGCCCGAGAAGGCCCUCAUCCUGGGCUUCAUGGCCGGCUCCCGAGAGAACCCGUGCCAGGAGCAGGGGGACGUGAUCCAGAUCAAGCUGAGCGAGCACACGGAGGACCUGCCCAAGGCGGAUGGCCAGGGUAGCACAACCAUGCUGGUGGACACGGUGUUUGAGAUGAACUAUGCCACGGGCCAGUGGACGCGCUUCAAGAAGUACAAGCCCAUGACCAAUGUGUCCUAGGGCCACCUGCCUCACAGCUGGCCGUCCCUUGGGGGGGGGUCCACGGGACGGUGGCUUUGCCGGCUUAAAGUAACCGGAUGGCGGACACCUGGCCCCCGAGGUCCCCCAGCCGCCGCCCUGCUGCUGACCCAGCCUGUUUUAAGUUCUGGAUGCAUUUCUCUGGGGUGUUUGGGGCUUAUUUUUAAAAUUUUAAUAUGGGUUCUUUUUUGUGUGAUUUAAGACACUUUUUGGACUCAACGUUACAUUUUUGAAUGUAGUAAGUUAACCAAAAAAGUUACAACUUCCUAAUUUUAGUGACAGCUCUGCCUGUUAGACUCUUACUUUUUAAAAUCUUUUCUAUUUUCCCUCGCUGGGGCAGUGCCCUCCUACCCCCAGGGUUGAGGGGACCAAGGUGGCACAGUGGUACUGGGGGUGCGGCAGGGACACCCGACCACACCAGAGCGUGGGAGACGGUGGGCCUUGUCCCCUGCCUGUGCCUGCCUGGGAGUUUUGUAUUCAUCUUUUGUAUAGUUGUGGACAUUUAAGACAGUCUUUGGGUACCUAUUUUCAUUGUAAAACUAUCUGAACCAUUAAAGUCGAGCUUUUCU
rnacentral:sRNA from 1 species